AACCCCGCACCAGUGAGAAUGCCCUUAACAUCAACCCAGAUCAAGAGGAGCAGACAUUAAGUACACUUCCCAGUAGCUCAAAAUGUCUUGCUCAACCACACCCCCAAGGGAUACAGCAGUGAUAAAAAUUUAGCAAUCAACGUAAGUUUGACUAAGUUAUACUACUUCAGGGUUGGUAAAUCUCGUGCCAGCCACCGCGGUCAUACGAUUAACCCAAAUUAAUAAACACCCGGCGUAAAGCGUGAUUAGAAACAAAACACAAAUAAAAUCAAAUAACAACUAAGCUGUAAAAAGUAAUAGUUGUAAACAAAAAUAAACUACGAAAGUGAUUUUAUAACAUUCGAACUCACGAUAGCUAAGACCCAAACUGGGAUUAGAUACCCCACUAUGCUUAGCCCUAAACCUAAAUAAUUUAUAACAAAAUUGUUCGCCAGAGAAGUACAAGCCAGAGCUUAAAACUCAAAGGACUUGGCGGUGCUUUACACCCACCUAGAGGAGCCUGUUCUAUAAUCGAUAAACCCCGAUAAACCUUACCACUCUUUGCCAAUUCAGCCUAUAUACCGCCAUCUUCAGCGAACCCUAAAAAGGAACAAAAGUAAGCUUAAUUAUUCUCAUAAAAACGUUAGGUCAAGGUGUAGCCUAUAGAGUGGAAAGUAAUGGGCUACAUUUUCUAUAUUAGAACAUACGAAAGCCCUUAUGAAAUCUUAGGGCCAAAGGAGGAUUU
rnacentral:rRNA from 1 species